UUAAUGUUCACUUCCUGCUGUGCUUUCUGCUCAGCUUCCUUCCUGGAGCCAGGAGCCAUGUAGGAAACCAGAAGCUGGUGUUUCUCAACUAGGCUUGCAUAUUAGAAUCACCUGGGCAUCUUUCUCCUCACUACCCAGGCUCCACCCCAGAGCAAUGCAUUCAACAUUUCUAAGCAGGGACCCAGGCAUCCGUACUUUGUGAAGUUCCCUGGCCGAUUACAAUGUCCAGUCAAGGCUGAGGGCUGCUGAUCCACAGUUUAUAGUCACACAGGCCUCAAACCUUUGCAACCUCGUGGUGUCUGCUUGGAAUAUUGCACUUAAGGCAUCAUCUGCAUCUUCGUACAGCCUGCUUCUGCAGAGCUCUGGGAGGGGAGCCGGCAGCGUCCCAUACUCCUGCAUCCAUGCAGCCUCCAGCAAAGCUACUGGGACAAAGACAGACAAGGGCAGUGGAGCCUAGAAAGGCCAGUUGGGCCCCAAGGAGAGUCUCAUAAGCCUUGAGAAAGUUCCAUCCUGCCCUUGUGAAAAGUCAGGGAGGAAAAGCAGCUCCAGAGCCCCGCAGCUGCCAUUCCAAGAUUAUAUUUUGCUGCAAAGGCCCUCUCUCCUGACUCACUUAGAGGAGCUCAGGGAGACACAGUCUUCACUUGGUGGAGCCCUCUGAGCGGCCAGGAGGGUUCAUGUAAAGAUUUUUCCAUCCUACUGACAGUGGCAGAUCCGGAAGCCAUUGGUUGGGGUUGCUCCAGAUACUGUCAGACAGCAGCAGCCCCAGCCCCUGGAGCCCCACCUGUUUCACUCAGAGCAUCACUGGCACAGCCCCAGGAACAUUGGACCUUGGAGCCCUUGUACUCCUGCCAGAACUUCCCCUUCAAGAAAAAGCCACGGGCCCGUGCAGACAGACAUAGGAGGCUGCCCUGCCCUUCAAUCCAGAGCUCCUGCUCUUGGCAAGGCACUCCAGGCUGCCUCUCAUUCAUUCCAAGGCCAUUGGGGUCUCUUCAAGUAUCUAAGAAAAAGGCCAGCUUUUGUGGG
rnacentral:lncRNA from 1 species